AUUGAACGCUGGCGGCAGGUCUAUCACAUGCAAGUCGAACGAGUGGCGGACGGGUGAGUAAUGUCUGGGAAACUGCCUGAUGGAGGGGGAUAACUACUGGAAACGGUAGCUAAUACCGCAUACCAUCAGAUUGGCCCAGAUGGGAUUAGCCGGUUGGUGGGGUAACGGCCUACCAAGGCGACGACCCCUAGCGGGUCUGAGAGGAUGACCAGCCACACUGGAACUGAGCCACGGUCCAGACUCCUACGGGAGGCAGCAGUGGGGAAUAUGGCACAAAGGGCGCAAGCCUGAUACAGCCAUGCCGCGUGUAUGAAGAAGGCCUUCGGGUUGGAAAGUACUUUCAGCGUGGCGGCGUUACCCGCAGAAGAAGCACCGGCUAACUCCGUGCCAGCAGCCGCGGUAAUAC
rnacentral:rRNA from 1 species